rnacentral:rRNA from 1 species
AAUGGGCGCAAGCCUGAUCCAGCCAUGCCGCGUGAGUGAUGAAGGCCCUAGGGUCGUAAAGCUCUUUCGCCUGUGAAGAUAAUGACGGUAGCAGGUAAAGAAACCCCGGCUAACUCCGUGCCAGCAGCCGCGGUAAUACGGAGGGGGUUAGCGUUGUUCGGAAUUACUGGGCGUAAAGCGCGCGUAGGCGGAUUAGUCAGUCAGAGGUGAAAUCCCAGGGCUCAACCCUGGAACUGCCUUUGAUACUGCUGGUCUUGAGUUCGAGAGAGGUAAGUGGAAUUCCGAGUGUAGAGGUGAAAUUCGUAGAUAUUCGGAGGAACACCAGUGGCGAAGGCGGCUUACUGGCUCGAUACUGACGCUGAGGUGCGAAAGUGUGGGGAGCAAACAGGAUU